GAUGAACGCUGGCGGCGUGCCUAAUACAUGCAAGUCGAGCGAACAGACGAGGAGCUUGCUCCUCUGACGUUAGCGGCGGACGGGUGAGUGACAAGUGGAUAACCUACCUAUAAGACUGGGAGGACAUCGGGAAACCGGAGCUAAUACCGGAUAAUAUAUUGAACCGCAUGGUUCAAUAGUGAAAGACAGUUUUGCUGUCACAUAUAGAUGGAUCCGCGCCGCCUUAGCGAUUGGGUAAGGUAACGGCCUACCAAGGAGACGAUGCGUAGCCGACCUGAGAGGGUGAUCGGCCACACUGAAAUGGGAACCGGGCCCGGCCCCCUACGGGAGGCAGCAGUGGGAAAUUUUCCGCAAUGGGCGAAAGCCGGACGAAGCAACGCCGCGUGAGUGAUGAAGGUUUUCGGAUCGUAAGACUCUGUUAUUAGGGAAGAACAAAUGUGUAAGUAACUAUGCACGUCUUGACGGUACCUAAUCAGAAAGCCACGGCUAACUACGU
rnacentral:rRNA from 1 species